rnacentral:rRNA from 1 species
GUGCCGCAGCCGCGGUAAUACGUAGGUGGCAAGCGUUGUCCGGAAUUAUUGGGCGUAAAGGGCCCGCAGGCGGUUCCUUAAGUCUGAUGUGAAAGCCCCCGGCUCAACCGGGGAGGGUCAUUGGAGACUGGGGAACUUGAGUGCAGAAGAGGAGAGUGGAAUUCCACGUGUAGCGGUGAAAUGCGUAGAGAUGUGGAGGAACACCAGUGGCGAAGGCGACUCUCUGGUCUGUAACUGACGCUGAGGAGCGAAAGCGUGGGGAGCGAACAGGAUUAGAAACCCCCGUAGUCC